rnacentral:lncRNA from 1 species
GGAUGUUAAUCACUGCUCCUUUUAUCAGACAGCUUUAUUAAGAUCAAUGUUUUUUGUUGCCAAAUUAGAGUGGACCUAGAGCGAACUUCCCAGCAGUUAUUAACACAAGUCCACAUUUGCUGGAAGGAUUGGGUACCUCCACGUGCUCAGCCAUAGCUGGAAGUUACACAAUAUCUAUAUCAUUUUUCACAGCUUUGUCAUUAGCUGGUAAUGAUUUGAUUAUUUUGCAGAUGAAUCACAGUAUAAAUCUCUUUCACAAACACUACCUCCAAGUAUUAAUCAAAACCAUUAAGGCAAAGCAGUCGGUGCAAAUUAAAAAAUUUGCAUGUCUAAAUUAAAAAUUACAGUAAUACAUCAUAAAUAAAUCUUUUAAAUUCUCUAUGGCCUCUAUGCACAUCCUUUCUUUGGUGUGUGUAUUCUAUAAUGAGACCACGAAUACCACGCUUUUCUGUCUCUCUCUCUCUCUAAUAUAUGUAUAUCUGAGCAUUAUCUAAUUUUAAAGGUAGAAUUCAGGUCCUUAGGUAGAACUUGGUAUUAGAACAUGGAAAAGAAGGGGGAGGGAUUUUUCCUUUUUCCUACUUAUUUCUUUUUUUUUCCCAACAGAAGAUUCAAAGACCGCACAAAAGAGAAGAGAAAGGAAGCUAUUGCAGAUAAUUUGCAGUGUCUUCUGUUGUCGCAAGAUCCUGGAUCUUAUGAUGAGAAAGACCAAAAAAAAAAAAAGCCUAUUUAUGCUGAGAACUUUUCCAUAUAGUGCUUUAUAUUGAUCACUUACGGUAAGUUUUAAUUAAAAAAGUGAACAGCACUAUUGAGAGUCAGCUUUACUAGUGUGCCUCAAAAACACAAACAAAGCUAGCAAAUUAAUAGUUAAAAUUUUCGUAAUGCUGCUGGGUAGUUUUUACCGCUCUGAUACUAAAACCCAGAGAUGAUAAGUAAAACAUGCAAGUUGUAUUAUUGGUAAUGGAUUUUUAUUGCUACACUAAAAUCGAACAAAAAUAAUAAUUAUAUGAUACAUGGACAAUAGUCAUCAAGGUAGGACAGGAAAAAAAUGAUGUGAUGGCUGCUAAGAAUACUCUUGUCCAAACGUUAAAGUACUUCUGAUAGAUUCACCAAAUAUUUGUAGUAAUAGUUACUUUUCAUUCAUAAUAAUUAAAUGAAAUUUAAAUUAUUAGAUUUCUUGGUUAACAUUAAUGUUUACUCCCAGUUGCCCAGGUGAAUUUGCUGCUGGAAGAUAGAAGUCACAUUUCUCAUAUUAAUGAGAAAUUUAUGUCUGUUUUAUCAACCAAAAUAUGUACUA